rnacentral:rRNA from 1 species
UACGUAGGGUGCGAGCGUUGUCCGGAAUUACUGGGCGUAAAGGGCGCGUAGGCGGCCUUCUAAGUCAGACGUGAAAUCCCCCGGCUUAACCUGGGAACUGCGUCUGAUACUGGGAGGCUUGAGUAUGGGAGAGGGAUGUAGAAUUCCAGGUGUAGCGGUGAAAUGCGUAGAUAUCUGGAGGAACACCGGUGGCGAAGGCGGCAUCCUGGACCAACACUGACACUGAGGAGCGAAAGCCAGGGGAGCAAACGGG